AUCAUGUUUUAAAAUGUUUAAUAAAGUUUAAUAAAGAUUUAAUGUGAUUUUAAGUUGUUUACGUAGUGUUCUAAUUCUAGAGGUUUAUUUAUGCAAAUGCUGCGUGACUUUGACAUGUUUUAAUGGGCGUGAGCGCUGAAUACUGGAGUCUCAUUUAAACGCUGGAGUGGAGGGAGUUGUCAUGGAAACGAGCCGACAACACCAACUGAUACACUGUAAAUCUCCAUCUCUAGCUGCUGUUUUCACUGCUUUCAUGAGUGAUAAUAUAAUCUCUCUACAUCAGAAGAGAAGCUCUAAAAUUUCUAAGUUUCUGAAAGGAGCUGCUGACAGAAAUGCAGGAAACACGGGAUCCUGUGUACCCAGCCUCAACCAUUCAUCAAAAGGACUGUGAAGGCAGGAAUUCUUUGAACCACCAGUGGCAGUUUCCACGGGAUGAAAACGGGCAUACUAGUGGAUGAUGGGGGUACUGAUAUUAACUUGUUGUAUUCACUGUAUUACACAUUUUUGUCAGUUUUUCAUUUCAAGUACUGGUGGUUUUGAUUUUGUCUGGAUGACAUGCUGUCCUAAUACUAACUAGUCAGAUCUCAAGUACCACCUAAAAUGCUGCCAAAACCAAACAGAAAAAUAGAAAUAUAUAAAGUCAGGUUAUCAUCAAGUACUCAGACUUGACAGUGAUGACUGAUCAUGAAACUAAUGAUUGCAGUGAUUUAAAAGAAUUAUCAAUCAUUGCAGUCAAGUCUGAGUACUCUAGUACUUGUGCACAUCCCUAUUAAAAACAAAUACACGGCAGUGAGGUAUGAUGUAAUGUAUACUGCAUUGAUGUAUACUGUAAAUGCAAUAAAUAUUUUAAUCAUACAUCUUGUCACGUCUUGUUACUUCUGGAUUUUCUUUCUUUUUUUUUUUUUGUAAUUACUUUAUGAACAAUCCUAUUAAAGAAAAUGUAUAAUAUGAUAAAUGUAAGGAUAUUGAUCUGGAAGAAAUGGGGGCAUAAAGAACCUAUUCAUCGGUGGUUCUUUGAAGAUCCUUUAAAAAGGGUACCAGAAA